CUUUUGGUUUGUUUGCUACUGUGCGAAUGUGACAUAUACUUGUUCUAUUCUCCACGGCAACAUGUAAAAAGUCUAUUGUUUAACUCUUUUCCAGACAAAUGAUAAAUAACAGUUCCACAGAAUUGGAAAAAUUGUUGUAACCAUAUUUCAAACAACAAUAAAUAUCAUGUGACAUGAAGCCCCAACACUUCACACAGAGUUCAAAUUUCAAUUUGCAAAAUUUUCUGUGCCUUUCGGUCCUUCUGACCUCAAUAUCUUGGGUCAACUGGUCAUGGUAAAUUAUCUGUAGUGAAAUUAAAAGCAUAAAGGCUAGGGAUGGACCUUAAACAUUUAUUGGUGGUGUGAGGCACAGACAAAGGUCCCUACUGAAUGCCAUUGGCUAUUUGUGCUCUGCACGAGAUUCAGCUGACUGAACACACUUUGCAUUCACCUCUUACUGCACUCCACACUAUACUCCGCUUGACUUUCUCCCUCUCAGCUCCUUCCCCUUUCCUUCUAUUGGCUCCAGCCCUGCUGUCAUCAGAAUGCAGGGCUUGUCGGGAGGACCUCACACAGAGUAAUUAUUAAUAACAGAAGAUGACAUGUAAAAACCUCUAUUGAAUGCCAAGUGGAGCUAGCAGAGAGUGUGCCUGUUUGAAAAUCACUAAAAGAAGAGAACCGUGCCCAAUGGAAACACCUCCUCCGGUCUAAACGCACCAUACUUCAUCGGAGACGUCGAGACUGUCACUGAAGCAGCAAGGUAAUAACAGCUUCAGGGGGUUGGUGGAGGGGGGUGGAGGAAUAAUGCGCCUGCGGGGCUUCCCCCACAAUCACAUCAGGGAGUCGAUCAGCUCGAUAGUAAGAAGAAGGCUCAGGAGCUGUCCAGGGUCUGAAAACGGAAUUCCAGCGGUAACAGAUGCGUGACGAUGCGUUACGCCUCAAGAAAAGACGUUGUUUUGUUUGUUUACUAAACGCAAAAAUAGCGAACUGACAUAACAUAGACAAUAUUUCUAUUUUAAGACACACGGAAAAAAAAACAACAAAAAAAACGACAUACGUCCCUGUUUCUUUGCCACCCUGGAAGUCUCGUCGGAGAAGAACGCACUCGUUUGAGUAUCACACUUCCUCGCGAUAGCAAGCUACCAUGUCCGUUAAAGGAAAAGCCUGGCUUUGAACACUAAAAUACAUACAUACAUACAUACAUACAUACAUACAUACAUCCACACACACACACAUAUAUAUAUAUAUAUAUAUAUAUAUACUGGUGUAAAAAGAAACUGAGUACUGUGGAAUAUCUUAAAGUGUAAUAAAGCUGGGAGACCACAUCCAGAUUUUUUUUUAUUAAAAAAAAAGAAAAUUCUUGUGAAUGUCGAAAGGAAAAUGUUAAGACUGCCACAAUAUUUAUUCAUCUAUGUUUUAUUGGGAGGUAGUUUAAAGUCUUUGCAAAGCACAGCAUGAAAAGGUGGAUGGGUAAAAAGAUCAAGUGAAACAUUUUGAAACAGCUCUGAGCUUUAAAGAUCUGUAAACUCUUAUGACCCAAGAUAAUAUUUGAGCUAACCCUCUACACAGAUAGUCCCAGGGAUCCAGGUAAACAGAAUGAAUUGCUGUGGUAAUAGAACCCAAAUGUGACGUCUACUUAUGUCUACGCCAGAUCUUAAAAGGUUAAAUGAAAAACAUUUAGCUGGAAAUCUGACCGCAACCUGUAUGAAACUGAAACCCAGAAACCUUUAGUGAAAUAAUUUUAAAAAUGACAAUGAAGAACAAAACAUAGCUAAACGGUGAGUUGAGCCACCGUUCAAAGGUAUUUAGGAGGUCAUGAUGUUGCUGUACUGUCAAAGUUUCCCAUGAGUUUGUUCCACAUUUUUCCAUGGCCUCAAUUCAUCACCAUCUCACUAAAGCAAAAUUACGCAAGGGCCAUUUUACUUGAAAUGACCUUUGACGACCUCUCACUUAUUUGUGGAAUGCUCAGAGACCUGCACACUUACAAAUUACAAUCAGAAACCAAAAUUUGCAAACCAGACAAACGGCAUUCUUACAUUCUUCACACAAACACACCCACAAGACGAAGUCACCAGGAAUAAAGGGCUUCAUUGUGACUUACCUUGGAUCUAGUGUGAACCACUGAGAGUUGGAACUGCAUGAGCUGGUAAGACAUAUCUUAUGGAUUUGUUUAAAAUAUGCCUCAUCAAUAUUUAACAAUUCCUUAAAGAAAGAUUACAUUUAAAGAAAUGUCAUCGUUGAGCUGUUAGUACUUCUGACUGUUCUUUCUUUCUUUUUUUUUUAAGAACUAUUUUCCAUUGCUUUGUUUUUUUUUUCACCUUUAGCCUUGAAAGGAAGCAGGACAAAUAUUUGUACUUAUGAUGGCAGAACACGGUGAGCCUUGCAGUGGGCAGGAGGCCAGUUUCUGCAUGAAUGGGGCAACGUGCUACAAAUUAUCCUCUAUGGAUUCACUCUCAUGCGUGUGUAAUGUAAAUUACAAAGGCAGCAGAUGUGAACAUUAUCAGCUACUCACCCAUUCUCCAACUGCAGAAAACGCAGGUUUAGUUGCAGCGUUGGUCAUUCUUGUCAUACUCAUCUUAGUGGCGCUGGCGUUCAUUAUCUUCAAAGUAUACAAGUUGGUGAAAGCAAAGAACUCCAGUGAUUCCAGGCCUCAGCAAAAAUAUUGGGGAGUCAAACCCAGUGUUUGAACUUCUCUCACAUUUUUUGGACUCCUUGUAUGUUUAUGUGUGCGAGAAAGCAAGAGAAAGGAAUGUGUGACUCAUUAUGAAGCUAAUAUUACCAGUGAGUGUCAAGUUCUUUUUGAGCCCCAGUUAAAAUGUGAUAUUAUGAAGAGCAAUAAAAUGUCUUUUACAUUUUACUCUUAAUAAGCUGUAAAAAAAAGAACAGUACUUUUUGUGUACAAUGAGAUGCCGACAGAUCAUCGUAUCCAAUUAUCAUCAUAAAGUUUUUAACCUUCUUAAUCCACUGCUUAUUUAAACUUUUACAGCAUCUUGGCUGCUGUCUGAAUUGUUUUCUGUGAUGUCACUUACCAAAAUACACUUUGCCAUUGUAUUUUUAAAACUUGAUUCUGCAAAGCUGGAAAAGCAAGAAAAUGCACGGCUAAUUAGAGUGCUUCAUUCAAGUAUAAUUAGACCAUAUGUCAAACCAUUCACCAAUUCUUUUAAGUCUAAAGAUAACCCCACACAGUGAGUUUUAAAAAGGAAAAUUAUGCAAUCACGUGACUGUUAAAUUAACCUGCGUGGGAGACGGAUAAAACUUGUUAGACAGCAUAAUUCAAAAUGUUUAUGUUUCUCCCACUAUAAAACUUGUUAUUGUAGAAACUAAAACUGGAGUGCUGACAUUUUAAACACAUAAAAAAUGUGUAUUUAAAAUUACAUAAAGAGAUUAGAAAAGCCUGGGAGAAGCUUUUCAAAUCUCUUUAUUUGCCAAUAUCUUAUAAAGUCAAUAUGCAGAUUUUUAAAAAGGAACAUGGAAAAUAUAGUGUUUCUCAUAAAAUGCUUUGUAGCAUUGAACAGCAAUGUUUCCUGUGACACAAUCUUAUUUUUUAGGUCUUUCUCUUCAAGAUUAAAGAAAUAAAGGGAUUUUUAGAGUUAUUUAAUUUAGUUGUCUAAUUUUAACAUGAUUUUCCUUUUGACAAAUGUUCUGUAAUUCUUUAAAGCACUUUAACUGUCCUGUGGAUGAACUGUAUUUUACAAUUAAAUUUAAUUUAUCUUAUCUGUCA